ensembl:lncRNA
UGGGUGUCUCACACCAUGGGAACAGCGACAAAGCCGUUCAUUGUAACACAAUGGCCAACAGUGGCUGAAGUAAUGGCUGGAGAGGAUGUCAUUUUAAACUGCAACAUUGUAGAGUUGUACUCCCCGUGUUCGACAGUGACUUGGCUGAAAGUCAUUCCCGAGAAUGCGACGAUCAGCCUCACCGAUAGACUUCAAAUGGACCCUCAUCACUCAUCCAACCAGUGUAAUGGUGUUUGUACUGCUGUUAUCACCAAUUCAACAGUGCAUGACUCCAGUAUGUACUACUGUGCAGCUGUGCAAAGCCGCUUUGCUCACAUUGGUAAUGGAUCCAGAGUCAUUGUGAAAGAACACACUGUUUUUCCUGUUAUUGAUAUUCUUACACCGCUGUUCACAAACGGUCCUUUGGUCCCACUUUUAUGUGUUGUGAAUGGGGCCGAGGCUUCUCGGGUUCAUAUGUCCUGGACUGUGGAGGGGAGAAAAGAGAAAGGACUGCCAGUUUUGACAAAUGGAAAUGCUGGUGCCAUCCAGAUCACUAGGAACCAGAUCCUGAUAACUGCUGAGGAGUGGGAAAGGAAGGUGCAGUGUGUGUGUGUAGUGGAGUUUGGAGGACAGCUUUAUACAAAGACCCUUGAUGCACCAGAUGUGUGUUAUGCUGUGAAAUACAUAUAUCUGUCUGUUUGCUUAAUUUUUGGUCUGCUGCUUCUGAUAACAGUGAUAGUUUACAGUCUGGGACAGAAAACUGUUGUGAUGAUGUGUCUAUGCAAAAACAUAUAAUUUCAAAGAGUUUUGAGUUUUUAUCUGUUAUUUUGCUCUGACACAUUAUUAUUUGUCAAACUUAUUUAGGCAUUUGGCAUUGCUGUACAUCAGAUGAAAGAUGGCAACAGUUAUUAAUAUUAGCAUGAGUAACUGUGAUGUUUUUGUUCAGAUUUUUGUUGAUUGUUUAGGAUCUUUGAAGUUUUGAAUGUGUUCAAGUGAAAUGUCAAAGUGAACUGAAAGGGUAAAUUUAGACUUUCACCUAAUAUGAUCUGAACUUUGUUUAUUACAAUAAAGUGAAUAAAAUACCCGAAUAAAAUAAAUGU